AUGCCAUGGUGUGAACAUUCUCUCUGCAGGUCUUUAAAUAUUUCCCAUGCAUCAUAGAGUGAUUCACCUUCCUUUUAUCUAAAGGUGUUGAGCUAAAGUCUCAGUCU